rnacentral:SRP_RNA from 1 species
CAGGGUUUUCGGGGCAUCGGGAGAUUUUGCUAACCUGGUCAGAUCUGAAAAGAAGCAGCCAUCGCUUUAUCGCUCGAGUGCCCCGAUAAAUAUCUAGAAU